CGGCGACCUUGCCGGGUUUCGUGCUGCCGGCCGCGGCGGCGGCGUCGGCGAGGACGACGACGGCGUCGUGCGAGGCGACAUCGGCGGCC
rnacentral:tRNA from 1 species